rnacentral:rRNA from 1 species
UUAAGCGACUAAGCGUACACGGUGGAUGCCCUGGCAGUCAGAGGCGAUGAAGGACGUGCUAAUCUGCGAAAAGCGCCGGCGAGGUGAUAUGAACCCUUGACCCGGCGAUGUCCGAAUGGGGAAACCCAGUGCAAUCCGUUGCACUAUCGUUAACUGAAUACAUAGGUUAACGAGGCGAACCGGGGGAACUGAAACAUCUAAGUACCCCGAGGAAAAGAAAUCAACCGAGAUUCCCCCAGUAGCGGCGAGCGAACGGGGAGCAGCCCGGAGUCUGAAUCAGCUUGUGUGUUAGUGGAACGGUCUGGAAAGUCCGACGGUACAGGGUGAUAGUCCCGUACACGAAAGCACACUUGCUGUGAACUCGAAGAGUAGGGCGGGACACGUGGUAUCCUGUCUGAAUAUGGGGGGACCAUCCUCCAAGGCUAAAUACUCCUGACUGACCGAUAGUGAACCAGUACCGUGAGGGAAAGGCGAAAAGAACCCCGGCGAGGGGAGUGAAAAAGAACCUGAAACCGUGUACGUACAAGCAGUGGGAGCCUCUUUAUGGGGUGACUGCGUACCUUUUGUAUAAUGGGUCAGCGACUUAUAUUCUGUAGCAAGGUUAACCGUAUAGGGGAGCCGAAGGGAAACCGAGUCUUAACUGGGCGUUAAGUUGCAGGGUAUAGACCCGAAACCCGGUGAUCUAGCCAUGGGCAGGUUGAAGGUUGGGUAACACUAACUGGAGGACCGAACCGACUAAUGUUGAAAAAUUAGCGGAUGACUUGUGGCUGGGGGUGAAAGGCCAAUCAAACCGGGAGAUAGCUGGUUCUCCCCGAAAGCUAUUUAGGUAGCGCCUCGUGAACUCAUCUUCGGGGGUAGAGCACUGUUUCGGCUAGGGGGCCAUCCCGGCUUACCAACCCGAUGCAAACUACGAAUACCGAAGAAUGUUAUCACGGGAGACACACGGCGGGUGCUAACGUCCGUCGUGAAGAGGGAAACAACCCAGACCGCCAGCUAAGGUCCCAAAGUCAUGGUUAAGUGGGAAACGAUGUGGGAAGGCACAGACAGCCAGGAUGUUGGCUUAGAAGCAGCCAUCAUUUAAAGAAAGCGUAAUAGCUCACUGGUCGAGUCGGCCUGCGCGGAAGAUGUAACGGGGCUAAACCAUGCACCGAAGCUGCGGCAGCGACACUAUGUGUUGUUGGGUAGGGGAGCGUUCUGUAAGCCGUUGAAGGUGUGCUGUGAGGCAUGCUGGAGGUAUCAGAAGUGCGAAUGCUGACAUAAGUAACGAUAAAGCGGGUGAAAAGCCCGCUCGCCGGAAGACCAAGGGUUCCUGUCCAACGUUAAUCGGGGCAGGGUGAGUCGACCCCUAAGGCGAGGCCGAAAGGCGUAGUCGAUGGGAAACAGGUUAAUAUUCCUGUACUUGGUGUUACUGCGAAGGGGGGACGGAGAAGGCUAUGUCAGCCGGGCGACGGUUGUCCCGGUUUAAGCAUGUAGGCGGAGGUUCCAGGUAAAUCCGGUACCUUAUUAACGCUGAGGUGUGAUGACGAGGCACUACGGUGCUGAAGUGAUAAAUGCCCUGCUUCCAGGAAAAGCCUCUAAGCAUCAGGUAACACGAAAUCGUACCCCAAACCGACACAGGUGGUCAGGUAGAGAAUACCAAGGCGCUUGAGAGAACUCGGGUGAAGGAACUAGGCAAAAUGGUGCCGUAACUUCGGGAGAAGGCACGCUGAUAUGUAGGUGAAGCCCCUGCGGGCGGAGCUGAAAUCAGUCGAAGAUACCAGCUGGCUGCAACUGUUUAUUAAAAACACAGCACUGUGCAAACACGAAAGUGGACGUAUACGGUGUGACGCCUGCCCGGUGCCGGAAGGUUAAUUGAUGGGGUUAGCGGCAACGCGAAGCUCUUGAUCGAAGCCCCGGUAAACGGCGGCCGUAACUAUAACGGUCCUAAGGUAGCGAAAUUCCUUGUCGGGUAAGUUCCGACCUGCACGAAUGG